CCUACGGGAGGCAGCAGUGGGGAAUAUUGGGCAAUGGGCGCAAGCCUGACCCAGCAACGCCGCGUGAAGGAAGAAGGCUUUCGGGUUGUAAACUUCUUUUCUCAGGGACGAUGCUAGUGAUGUUACCUGACUAAUAAGCCACGGCUAACUUCGUGCCAGCCGCCGCGGUAAUACGUAGGUGGCAAGCGUUAUCCGGAUUUACUGGGGGUAAAGGGCGUGUAGGCGGGAAAGCAAGUCAGAUGUGAAAUCCAUGGGCUCAACCUGAGGCCUGUAUUUGAAACUGUUUUUCUAGAGUACUGGAGAGGCAGACGGAAUUCCUAGUGUAGCGGUGAAAUGCGUAGAGAUUAAGAGGAACAC
rnacentral:rRNA from 1 species